CACGUAGGGGACGAGCGUUGUCCGGAUUCAUUGGGCGUAAAGCGCGCGUAGGCGGCUCGGAAAGUCGGUCGUGAAAUGCCGGGGCUCAACCCCGGGACUGCGUCCGAUACUCCCGAGCUGGAGGCAGGUAGGGGAGAUCGGAAUUCCUGGUGUAGCGGUGAAAUGCGCAGAUAUCAGGAGGAACACCGGUGGCGAAGGCGGAUCUCUGGUCCUUGCCUGACGCUGAGGCGCGAAAGCUAGGGGAGCGAACAGG
rnacentral:rRNA from 1 species